GCCUGGGUGGCUCAGUCGGUUAAGCGUCCGACUUCAGCUCAGGUCAUGAUCUCGCGGCUCGUGGGUUCGAGCCCCGCAUCGGGCU
rnacentral:tRNA from 1 species